CGAAUAGCCUAGUUAUCCAAGCAAAGUUCAGACUAAAAGCCAUCGCCAUUACAGCUCUGCUUGGCAUUGUCUAUGCGCUCCGACAAGGUUCCCGGAAGAAUUGUUCUGCACAAUCCCUACCGUCAAACCGUCGCAAAAUACCCUCAGAUAUCACGCCCUGGUCCUCUAAGAUCCGGCCUUGAAACUGACCCUAGCUAACAUCUAAACCGAGCUGCGUGAGAAAUUGGCUUAAGUUCGUGAAAGAUAAAUCUGCCAAACUAAAGCAAGCAAGUGAAACAGAUCAUUACGUUGAACUCAGUAUAUGCAAUGAGAAUUCAAGAUCAUCCCAAGCAGUGCUUUAUUUUAUACAUCACAUUGGUGCUAAUUUCCAGCACGGUUUCAUGUCUCCACAAGGUGGCUCCUUCUCAUAAUAAAUAUAUUACAGAUUCAUACUUUAAGGAACACAAUAGCUUGACAGAUUCAAAAUUUGAAGAUUACAUUGCUCAAGGAAUUGCUUAUGGAUCACGUGAGUUGUUGGAAGAACUCAA